ensembl:lncRNA
GGCGGGCGGGAGCGAGGGGAGGAGGCGGCGGCCGCCGCGCGUUCCCGCCCGCGCGGCCCGGCAGUGCCCUGGCCCGCGCUCGGUGACCGGCACCCGGCCCUCGCGCGCCCCGGGGAAGAGCUCCCCCCUCACCCGUAACUUCCCGCAGACUAAGGGGGCGCUCGGGACACGCGUUCCCCCAGCGGCCGGAAGGCCCAGGGCAUCUCAGUGUUUGACCUCCUGCCCGCAAAGCCUUACUCGUCCCCGCGUGAGAGCUCGGCUCGUCUGAGUAUUGGGCGAAGAAACUACAAGGAAAGACGGGUCGGCCGCUCUGAGAACCAGGCCUGACAGUGUCCCAGGUUUGGCUUCGGGAGGAACCUCGGGGACAGCUUUCUUGGGGGAGGACGGCGCUGUGGGUCCCCAACUGUCCAUUUCCCAGCAGCGCGACUGUGGGCAAGCUGCCACCCCUUUAUCUGUGAGUGCAGUGACAACAGUCAUCUCCCCGGUGGCGCUGUUCAGAGGAUGACAGGAGCGCUGGCCAGGCACCAGCUUUUGCUGAGAGUUUGUAUGAGCUCUGGCCUGCCUCACAGUAGGAGAUCACUAGUUGUGCAGGCUUAAACGCCACUCCACCCCCACCACCGGACCCUGGGACCAGUCAGGGAGACAGUCAGUGGGGUCUUCCUGGCUCUGCUGCCUCCAGCAGCCUAGAGUCCAGUAGAGACACACUUGGUGCACCUGGAGAGCUCCAGGAGUGUCACACAUUGUACAGGAGACUGGCCAGGGUCUCUUCUGCCAUUCCUCCUAAGGGCUGUUGGUCCCAACUGGCCACGCGUGGGAAGCAAGGCUUCACCCUGAUUAACACUGGCAGCAAAGCAGAAACUAGGCCAGGAAGGCCUUUAAGUGGGAAGAGGACCAGUGACCUGACCGUCUGCCUCUGGAUGGCUGUAGAGAGCUCAGGGUGUGCGUCUGUGGCUUGGCAGGUAGGAAGCAGGUGAUGAGGGGCAGGAGCCGGUGGGGACAGAGCAGGACCUAAGGAUGAUGGCCUCCCUGGGGCCUCUCCAGCCUCCCUCUCAGGAGCCCUUUGGUUUCAUAACCCACAUGAUUCACCCUUUAUGCAGGCAUGAGUCACCGAGUGGAGGUGGGAGCAUGGGAGGCCCGACAGGGACCAGCCGAACUCCUGCUCACACGAUCUCCUGCCAGAGGCCCCUUUUGGAACUGGAAUUGAUUCCCCACACCUUCUCCUCUUCUCUGCACUAAAUGCAGUCUGUCCUCCCCUUCCUCCCCUGCCAAGGGGGCUCAGCUCCCUGGGCCUGCCCCACCAGGCAGAAUGCAGACCCCUCCUUCCCCACCUGCAGACAGCCUCACCCUGCCCACCCUUGAGGCAGGAGGCCCAAAGGCAGGCAGGAUUGCCCUGUGGGAGAUCAUACCGCUCAAUGGGGCAGAGGCAAACCCAGAACCUGCAGCCCACCUCCUCCCAGUGGCACCCUGGCUGUCCACAGAGGAGGGUCACUGUCACUUACCAGCAAUAUACCUGUCCCCAUCUGGCCCCUGUUGGCCAGACUGUCCCUGGGCCAGGACCCUGUGUUGUUCUCCUUCAAGUCUGUGACCCUCCAGGUGGACCUAAAAGCUGUCAAACAGAGUGAAGUAAGUCAGAAAGAGAAAAACAAAUAUCAUAUGUUAAUACAUAUAUGUGGAAUCUAGAAAAUAAUUUCCAGAGCAGAAAUAGAGACAUAGGUAGAGAACCAACGUAUGGAUACCAAGGGGGGAUAGGAGGCAGUGGGAUGAAUUGGAAGAUGAGAAUUGACAUAUACAAUCCUCCAUGUAUAAAAUAGAUAACUAAUGAGAAGCUACUGUUUAGCACAGGGGGAAAAAAGGCACCAUCUGUUUGCAGGACAUUAUUAAGUUAACCUUAAAAAUGCAUUCCAAUAUACAUUAGGUGCAGACAAAUACUGUUUGAUUCCAUUUAUAUGAAGUAUUGAGAAUAGUCAAUUUCAUAGAGGCAGAAAGUAC